GGGAAUCUUGCGCAAUGGGCGAAAGCCUGACGCAGCAACGCCGCGUGGGGGAUGAAGGCCUUCGGGUUGUAAACCCCUUUCAGGAGGGAAGAAAUUGACGGUACCUCCAGAAGAAGGACCGGCCAACUACGUGCCAGCAGCCGCGGUAAUACGUAGGGUCCAAGCGUUAUCCGGAAUCAUUGGGCGUAAAGAGCUCGUAGGCGGUUCAACAAGUCGGCUGUGAAAGUCCGAGGCUUAACCUCGGAAUUGCAGUCGAAACUGUUGUGACUCGAGUCCGGUAGAGGAGAAUGGAAUUCCCGGUGUAGCGGUGAAAUGCGCAGAUAUCGGGAGGAACACCAGUAGCGAAGGCGGUUCUCUGGGCCGGCACUGACGCUGAGGAGCGAAAGCGUGGGGAGCAAA
rnacentral:rRNA from 1 species